ensembl:lncRNA LINC02614 long intergenic non-protein coding RNA 2614
AUUUGAAAUCCGAGCCUGUUCCAGAUAGACUCUCUCUCUUUCUGCCCUGACCGUGAGAGAAGCCCUGCUGGACGGUGGAGACACUCGUGGGCUGUGAGCAAGGGAUGCAAAGGCUGCCGGGAAUCCCAUCUUUCCAGCAUCAUCUGCCAAGGCACAUUAGUUCCUGGGUAUCUGGAUGGGUUCUAGCAGCAUUACUGUCAUUGAAGGAAAAAUUUUAGCCAUAUUAAAGGUUAAUGCAGCAAUCUCCACAUAGGCUGCCUGGAAGGGAAGCAGGACAAGGUUAGGUUUUCCUUGUGAUGGACAGGAGGCAGGCGGCCCUCCCACAGCCCUGCCUGGCAAUACAGAUGUGUCCCCAAAAGGCACUGGGGGCCAGCUGGAGUGCUAUGCCGAGGCGGACUGACCCGGGCCGUGGGUUCACUCUGCUGGCAGCGGUUUCCCGCCAGCUCCUUGCAGAGUUGGCAGAUGGCCCAGCCCCACAGCAGGAGCCGGGAAUGGCAGAACGAGACACAACAAUUUGAUAUCCACUUGCCAGAUGAGCCGGGUGUCAUCAGUCGCCUGGCUCUAUGCCCAACCUCUUUUUGCAUAAACACUUAUGGAUUCAGCCAAGAGGAAAAGCACUCUGAUUAUGAAUUGAGCAGAAGGAAACAAAGUUCUGCAGAUAAACACCAAUGAAACAAAAAACCACGAAUAAGAAAAAUGACAGAAAAGGAGAACCUUCCCAGAAUCCUCCUGCCAGUGAACGGUCACCAGAGCAAGAGCAUGGAGUCCCUGGGUUUUGAACUGUGAGAUAAGGAAGAUGAUGAAAACCUCCCUAGCAGCCAGGAAUGACGGACGCUGGGGCUUUGAUGGGCACCGGGUGAAAUGGGCAGAGUGGCGCUUACCCGGGAUGGCGGUGAAGCGGGACCGGGAGGUCAUCGUGACAAAGGGUGGCAUGAGGUACCUGGCCUUGACGCCCUCCCCGGCUAGACGGUCCAGAUUGGGGGUGUCCACAUCCUGAUCCUAGUCCCAGCGGAAGCCCUGGAAGGAGAUCAGCAGCAGCUAAACUCCUGGAGGGCAGAGCCAUGCCUGCCAUUUUCAUCAUUGCAUUACCACCACCCAGCACAGUGCCUGGUACAAAAGAGUUGCUCAAUAAAUAAAUCAGGAUGAAUGGACAAAUACACGGAUAGGCACUUUGAACUACAGAUGAGCUUAAAUACUUUGUGUUUUUCUUAGUCAAACAUGUGCAAUUAAGCAUGUGAUAAAUUAUAUGAUGACCA